UACGUAGGUCCCGAGCGUUGUCCGGAUUUAUUGGGCGUAAAGCGAGCGCAGGUGGUUUAUUAAGUCUGGUGUAAAAGGCAGUGGCUCAACCAUUGUAUGCAUUGGAAACUGGUAGACUUGAGUGCAGGAGAGGAGAGUGGAAUUCCAUGUGUAGCGGUGAAUGCGUAGAUAUAUGGAGGAACACCGGUGGCGAAAGCGACUCUCUGGCCUGUAACUGACACUGAGGCUCGAAAGCGUGGGGAGCAAACAGG
rnacentral:rRNA from 1 species